UCGGGAAGGAAUUAUGGGUUGAGAUUAAAGGAAAAGAGAGUUUAUGUAUUUUCUUUUACGAGGACCACCAGAGAUGUAAUAGUUCACAUCAUAACAUAGUCAAAUAUUAAAAAGCCCAGCAUUCUUGUCAAUAAUAUCUAGCGCAAUUCUUCUCAAUGUUAUCCUAAUGUCGCGAUGAGAAAAUACUUUUUGCUGAAUAAAGAAACUAUUUAAUUAUAGAAGAUAAAACAAGACUUGCAUAAAAACAAAUAUAUUGACAUUUGAAACAGUCGAUCCAAAAUAAAGAGUUGGUUGGUCUACAAUAAGAAAAAUUAUAGUGUUUAAAUACCAACUACCAAAAUGCCGGUAUACUAUGGAGGGUUUGUCGGAGGCCCGCAAGGAGGUGGCUACUGUCUCUAUUCAUCACACUGCCAUCCUUCCAUCGGCGGCUGUGGACCCUGUGGACCUUUACCAGGCCCUUGUUGCUCGCUCUCUUGUUAAUGUUUCCGACGGCAUAUAAUUCCUGUUUGAAGAUAAUGUCUCAUAAGUCUGAUGUAUCUCAAUUAAAAUGUUUUAACGAA